CGAUCAAGAGCAGGGGGCCAAGAACAAACCCUAACUUUCAGAAAAUCCCAAGGUUACGAAGGAAUUAAGGGCUUAAAUUGAUGCAUGAGCUCCAAUUUUUAACCAUCUAAGCUUGUUCAACACAAGGCGUUAAAGAAGAAAGUUCGAGUCAAGUGAAGCAACAAGGGAAUCAAGACCGAGGUAAAUAUCAUGUCUAGCUAUCAAGCUUUGCCCGGUUCGAACACGCCUCAAGCCCGUCAAGCGUUCCGCAUUUUGUAAAAGUCAAUGUUUAAUACUUUGUCACUUAUGUUUACGUCUAGUAGUUAAACCUAGUUUCUAUUUUGUUUGUCUUUUGGAAAACUUGUCGUAAGUACGUACAUAAACUUAAUGGUUUCGUAAGUAAAAACAUGGUAUGUUUUGACGUGUAUGUUGCGUCUUUUGAUUGGUUGCGUAUUUUUGAAUAAUAUUUGAUUAUGAAAAACA